CCGAAACCUGCAAAGCAGACCGCGAACACGUUCACAACAACCCCGGCGGCGCGGGGCGGGGGCGACCCCGCCGCGCGCCCCGCUAACGAAACUCGGGCGCGGAAUGCGCCAAGGAAAACAAAAUGGAGCGCUCCCUCCCGGCGCGCCCCGUCCGCGGGGCGAACCGGGAGAGCGACGCCUAUCGAAUGUCUAAACGACUCUCGGCAACGGAUAUCUCGGCUCUCGCAUCGAUGACCACGGGGGGGUGCCGGGGCGGAGAUUGGCCCCCCGUGCGCAGCGAUGCGCGCGGCCGGCCCAAACCCGAAUCCGCCGUCGACGCGCGUCGCGACCAGUGGUGGUUGAACCCUCAACUCGCGCGCUGUCGCGCCCCGCCGCGCCGUCGGUCCGGAGACCGUCCCAACGGGGCGAUCCACGGAUCGCGCCCACGACCGCGACCCCAGGUCA
rnacentral:rRNA from 1 species